GAUUAGAUGGCUGAAUAAAAGUGGUAAAUUGUAAAUUUAUUUAGGAUUUUAAUCUCUAGGUA
rnacentral:tRNA from 1 species